CCCACUGUUAAUUAUACUUUAUUUUUAAGACGUUAUACGUAGCUACAGUUAUGACAUGAAUGCCCCAUUGCGGUACUUUUUACUUAAUAAGUGUGUGCGCAUGCUCAGUAGAAAUACCAGUUUGUGUGAAUGAAGCUAGCGAUGAUGGGACCAUCGGACUUAAGCCAAUGAACUAGCUGUCUUUGGCAGUUCCAGUGUCCCGUUUCAAGUUUUGAAUUCACAAAGGAAGCGCCCAUUCUAGUGCCGUCGUCUUGUAGCGAGUGUAAAUGAAGGAAGAUUCAUAGGCCUAAGAAAGUGAAGUAAAAUCUUCAGACGGGUCGAGCAUCGAGCACCAAUCGAUCACGAAGAACAUACAGGAAGAGCAUGUUUGGUGAGCACAUGAUUCACUCUACAAAGUACUGUACUGUACGCUAUGUGAAGCAAGAAGUAAACAACGCAUAAUCGUGUAUUUUCUG